rnacentral:rRNA from 1 species
UACGAAGGUGGCUAGCGUUGUUCGGAAUUACUGGGCGUAAAGCGCACGUAGGCGGACUUGAAAGUCAGAGGUGAAAGCCCAGGGCUCAACCUUGGAACUGCCUUUGAAACUUCUGGUCUUGAGGUCGAGAGAGGUGAGUGGAAUUCCGAGUGUAGAGGUGAAAUUCGUAGAUAUUCGGAGGAACACCAGUGGCGAAGGCGGCUCACUGGCUCGAUACUGACGCUGAGGUGCGAAAGCGUGGGGAGCAAACAGG